rnacentral:tRNA from 1 species
GCACUGGUGGUUCAGCGGUAGAAUUCUUGCCUUCCAUGUGGAAGACCUAGUUUCGAUCCUGGCCGAUGCA